UUCCGUAGGUGAACCUGCGGAGGGCAGCAUUACCGAGUUUACAACUCCCAAACCCAAUGUGAACCAUACCAAACUGUUGCCUCGGCGGGGUCACGCCCCGGGUGCGUCGCAGCCCCGGAACCAGGCGCCCGCCGGAGGGACCAACCAAACUCUUUACUGUAGUCCCCUCGCGGACGUUAUUUCUUACAGCUCUGAGCAAAAAAUUCAAAAUGAAUCAAAACUUUCAACAACGGAUCUCUUGGUUCUGGCAUCGAUGAAGAACGCAGCGAAAUGCGAUAAGUAAUGUGAAUUGCAGAAUUCAGUGAAUCAUCGAAUCUUUGAACGCACAUUGCGCCCGCCAGUAUUCUGGCGGGCAUGCCUGUCCGAGCGUCAUUUCAACCCUCGAACCCCUCCGGGGGGUCGGCGUUGGGGAUCGGGAACCCCUCAGACGGGAUCCCGGCCCCGAAAUACAGUGGCGGUCUCGCCGGCGAGAAAGCUCCUGCGCAGUAGUUUGCACAACUCGCACCGGGAGCGCGGCGCGUCCACGUCCGUAAAACACCCAACUUUCUGAAAUGUUGACCUCGGAUCAGGUAGGAAUACCCGCUGAACUUAAGCAUAUCAAUAAGCGGAGGAA
rnacentral:rRNA from 1 species